AAAACAUCUCUAAUAGAAAUUAUUAUUAGUAAAGCCUGCUCAAUGAAUAUUAAAUAGCCGCAGUUCAUUCUGUGCUAAGGUAGCAUAAUCAUUAGUCUUUUAAUUAAAGACCAGUAUGAAAGGCUUAACAUUUAAUUAAUUAUUAUAAACCUCUUCUUUAAAUUUUUUUAAAUGUAAAAAAACAUUUAUUAAUAAGAAAGACGACAAGACCCUAUUAAACUUAACUUAAGUUUAACUGGGGCAGUUAAAUAACAAAAUCUUACUAAAUUCCUUUAAAUAAAUGACCUAAUAUAAUUAAACAAUGAUCAAGUUACUAUAGGGAUAACAGCGUAAUAAUUUUUUAAAGAUCUUAUAUAAAAAAACGAUUACGACCUCGAUGUUGAAUUAAUUUACCUAUCAUACGCAAAAGUAUAAAUAGAAAGUCUGUUCGACUUAUAAAAAAUUACAUGAUCUG
rnacentral:rRNA from 1 species